rnacentral:rRNA from 1 species
AGAGUUUGAUCAUGGCUCAGAUUGAACGCUGGCGGCAGGCUUAACACAUGCAAGUCGAACGGUAACAGAACUAGCUUGCUAGUUGCUGACGAGUGGCGGACGGGUGAGUAACGCGUAGGAAUCUACCGAAUAGUGGGGGACAACAGUUGGAAACGGCUGCUAAUACCGCAUACGCCCUACGGGGGAAAGGAGGGGAUCUUCGGACCUUUCGCUAUUUGAUGAGCCUGCGUGAGAUUAGUUAGUUGGUGGGGUAAUGGCUCACCAAGGCGACGAUCUCUAGCUGGUCUGAGAGGAUGAUCAGCCACACUGGGACUGGGACACGGCCCAGACUCCUACGGNANNCANCAGUGGGGAAUAUUGCACAAUGGGGGAAACCCUGAUGCAGCCAUGCCGCGUGUGUGAAGAAGGCCUUCGGGUUGUAAAGCACUUUCAGU